rnacentral:rRNA from 1 species
UACGUAGGGGGCAAGCGUUAUCCGGAUUUAUUGGGUUUAAAGGGUGCGUAGGCGGUUUGAUAAGUUAGAGGUGAAAUGUCGGGGCUCAACCCCGAAACUGCCUCUAAUACUGUUGGACUAGAGAAUAGUUGCGGUAGGCGGAAUGUAUGGUGUAGCGGUGAAAUGCUUAGAGAUCAUACAGAACACCGAUUGCGAAGGCAGCUUACCAAACUAUAUCUGACGUUGAGGCACGAAAGCGUGGGUAGCAAACAGG